AUCCCUAGUCUCCUUUGUUGCCUACAAUUCUACUUUUAGCCAUCACUUUGGAUCCAACGAAGACAAAUUGAUUUAUUUUUACAAGUAAGCACAUAUGAAAUAUGACCAUACUCUUGACGGAAAGGCAACCAUCUUGACCUGAAAACUUGGUUGUUUCUUGACUUUUACGAGACACACACGGAGAGAGAAAGUGUUAUGGUUAGAAUCGGGAUGCGUUUCAGACAACCACACUUGAAACGAAUGAAUACAUAUAUUUGGAAAGCUGAGGGCUUGUUGUAGUUUUCAGAAGUGGGUUCAGUUGAGAAACUUCAAACUUCCCUCCAUCCUCUCUCUCUCUCUCUCUCUCUCUCUACAAGGUAUAGCCUUCGGCGCACAUGCUUUGGUGCUUUCGUUUGAAACUUACAAUGGAGAUUUGAUAUAUAAGGAGGAAGUUUGAAAUUCACAGAGGUGUUUCUGUUGAUGUUUCUUGACUUGGGUUUUUGGUUUUCAAGUUAUAGAGCCUCCAGAAACACAUCAUUUGGAAGAGUCUAAGCUUCUAGAGUUGUGAACUCUUAAAUUUCUAUACAACCCCGUCUGCGUUUAUAUCAGAGUUUCCAGUCAGAUUAAGUUUUAGGAAAAUUCAAGCUGAUGUAUCAAAAGCAAAGAUUGAAGAUGUAUUAAAAGCUAUACCUAAAGGCAGCCAUUGAAAGCAUUUAUUGCACAAAGUUUUCUCUCCGAACUUUCUGUAAGUAUAAUGUCAUUGCUAACCCAUGUCCCUUGCAUGCUCACUUCUCCCAAUCUUCCUCUUCUUCUUCUGUUCUUAAUUAAUCUUUUUCCUUUCUUAAUUCUGUCCUUUAAUUCUCUUAUUGGUCAUUGUUGCAAGUUAAAGCUAAGCUAAUUCUAAUGCUAUCAUCGAGCCACCAGAUUAGAACUUUGUCGGCCUGCAAACAUCUGCAAGUUGCAGUUUCCAUCAUACUUCUUCUUCGAUCUUUUUUCUGAUUCUUUAAACAGAAGAAAACUGUUAUUUUGUUUUUCUUUUUUGUUCCUUUCGAUGUCUAGCGGGUCUAGAUCAUGUCGGUUAAAAAAUGUUCUUUGUGACAAACAGGAUCCAAGAAUAAGUCCAGAAUUCUUCAAGCCUCAAGUGGAGAAGCAACAGAGCUGGACAGAACCAUACACAACAUAUCCUUUAAGAGAGUACUACCUAUACGCAACGUUUUGUUUAUUGAAGGUUCUCUUUUGAAUCUGCAAACAUAAAACACACCGUUUUAUUUAUGUAAAGUUUGAAAUUCAGUUAGUGUAGAUAGUUAGUUGUAUAAAUUAGAAUAAUUAGUUUUUUUGCUUUCUGUCAAUUGCUCAUUGCCCUAUGUAUAUAAGACAAGGGACAAACUAUCCUUUGUGGGAAAUUUCAUUCUGAAACAGAUCAGAAUUCUUUUCAACCGCCUUAGCAUUUUCUUCCCAUUUUCAUAUUCUGUCUUGGUACCAGAGCAGGUAGGACUGAGGACCAGACGAAUAGGGCUUUGACAGCAAAUUUUUUUUUGGAGUGGUGGUUUUAAUAGAACAGUGAGUAUACUGGUUAUCCUUUCAUCCUUUAUUCUUUAGCUUUCAUUUACUUGCCUAUUAGCUGAGAAAAUGUUUGAAUCAAGUGAAUCAACCACUAGAAACACUGCACCUAAACCACAGCUCACAUCACAGGUUUCACAAGCUAAUGAUCCCCAAUCACCAUAUUACCUUCAUCACACUGACCACCUUGGUUCAGUGGUUGUAAACCCCAAACUCACCACAAACAACUAUGUUGCAUGGAGCCGAUCUUUCUUACUAACCUUGUCAAUCAAAAACAAGGCUGGAUUCAUAAAUGGCUCCAUUCCCAAGCCUUCAAUCACUAAUGAUCUAUAUCCUAUCUGGAACAGAUGCAAUAACCUCAAAGUAUCCUGGUUAUUAGAUUCUAUCUCCCAACCAAUAGCCUCUACCAUCUUCUUUAUGGAAUCUGCUGCUGAAAUUUGGAAUACCCUGAAACUGAACUAUGCUCAACCUGAUGAUACCCGUGUUUGUAAUCUUCAAUACACACUUGGAAGUGUAAUUCAAGGAGUCAAAACAGUAGAUGCCUAUUUUAUAGAGCUAAAAUGCAUAUGGGAAGAACUAAGAAACUAUAGGCCCUUGCCACAUUGCGAAUGUGAAAAAUGCAAUGCCAGUUGCUUCAAGAAAUUCUCUAAUCAAUACCAAAAGGACAUGGUAUUUAGGUUCCUCAAUGGUUUGAAUGAAUCCUUCUUAACCAUUAGGUCCCAAAUCAUUCUAAUGGACCCAAUACCAACACUAGACAAGGUUUAUAGCAUGGUACUGAGAGAAGAAUCAUAGAGAAAUAUGUUCCUGCAAUCCCAACCCUUCCUUGAGUCUUCAGCAAUGUUAGGUACUACUGAUGUAAAGAGAAAGCCAAGGAAGGAUCUUACUUGUACUCACUGUGGGAAGAAAGGACAUGUAAAGGAGAAGUGUUAUAAGAUAAUUGGUUUUCUAGAGGAUUUUAAAUUCACUAAAGGGAAGCCUCAUGUGAAGAAAGGGGCAGCUGUAAACAGUUUUACUACAGCAGUUGAACCACAGCCAGAUGACAAUCAAGCAAAUCAUGUGGAGGAGAUAGGAGGCUCUAGUUCCAUGUCACAGAUGACUAUGCUUAAGCAGCAAGUUAACAAGUUAAUGGAUCUCUUAAAUGAGAAUGGUUUAAUUAGCAAUGAUGGUAAGAGCGCCCCUGCAAACACUUAACCCAACAAACACUCACUUGUUAAUUCUGCCUUUGCAGGUAUAGUCUCUAAUUACCCUUGCUUCAAUACACAUAAUAAUUUGCCAUUUGAAUUCAAGCAUGUUAACACUAUCAUGAUUAAGCAUGGACAUUGGAUCAUGGACUCAAGUGCAACAGAUCAUAUAGCCUAUUCCUUAGAUAAUUUUCUUCAAGCCAACCCUGUAGAGAACUAUUUUGUUCAACUGCCAAAUGAUAGAAGAACAUUAGUUUCCCAUAUAGGCACAGUUAAAGUAAACUCUUCAUUGAUUCUAUAUGAUGUCCUGUGUGUACCAAGCUUUAAAUUCAAUAUAAUAUCAAAAGUAAACUUACCUGUAGCAAGAAAAACUAUGUGCUGUUUAUCGACUCACAUUGUAUUAUCCAGGAUACCCUCUCUUGGACAGUGAUUGGGGUUGUUAGGGCUACUUCAGGGUUAUAUCUUAUGCAAGACAGUGAGCAGGAUAUGUCUAGAUUUUGUUUUGACAAAGUUGUAAAGUUUCCUUCAAUUUUCUCUAUCGAUUCUUGUAAACCAGAAAACAAAAUCAAAGGUUUUAAUAUUUGGCACUUUAGGUUAGGCCAUGCACCUUUAGAAUGGAUUAAUGUGAUCCACCAACAUUGUCCAGUUGUUGAUUGUUCAAAUGAAUUAAUAUGUGAGAUCUGCCCUUUGGCAAAGCAAAGAAAGCUUUCUUUUCCUCUUCAUAUUCAAAGUACAAAUGCUAUUUUUCAAUUAAUUCAUGCUGACAUUUGGGGACCUUGUGAGGUUUCAACUUUAUCAGAACAAAGAUAUUUUUUAACUAUUGUGUAUGACUUUUCUUGAUUCACUUGGGUAUUCUUAAUGAGAAACAAGUCAGAAGUCUCAACUAUUAUUCCUUCUUUUGAUACAUAUGUACAAAAAUAGUUUAAUUGCUCAAUUAAAUGCAUAAGAUCAAAUAAUGGGAAUGAGUUUAGACUUACUGAUUUUUUCACCAAAACUGGCAUAGUUCAUUAGCUGUCCUAUGUAGGUAACCCUCAGUAGAAUGGUGUUGUUGAAAGAAAACACCAACACAUUCUGAUGGUUGCAAGAGCCUUAAUACAUCAGUCAAGUAUCCCUCUUUAUUUCUGGGGAGAUGCAGUCCUCACUGCAGUUCACAUAAUUAAUAGGGUACCUAGCAAAAUAAUUCACAAUAAGUCACCAUUUGAAUUGUUACAUGGAAAGCUACCAUCAUAUGACCAUCUCAAAGUUUUUGGAUGUUUAUGUUUUGUUUCCACCUUAACACAAAAUAGAAAGAAGUUGGACCCGAUAGCAAGCAAAUGUAUUUUUUUAGGCUAUCCAAAUAAUGUAAAAGGGUAUAAGGUAUAUGAUCUUUGUGAACAAGAGGUCCUAAUAUCAAGGGAUAUUGUUUUUCAUGAGCAUGUGUUUCCAUUUCAUUCAUCAAGCAAUAACAUGCAGUCUGAUGCAUUUUAUCAAACACAUAGUAUGCAUGAUGAAUACAUGGAAGAUUUUGAUGCUAAUUGUCCAUAUCAGCCUUACCAACAGCACACAACACCUGAAUUAUGUUCUCUUGAGCCUUCUUCAUCAUCUGAAACAUUUUCUUCAUUGAAUUCAAGUGACAUUUUCCUCAAUCCACCCUUAAACGACAGCAUAUCACAAACUGUAGACAGUUUUAAUGUUGAUAUGAGUACUUCUCAAGAAGCAGUAGCACCAGCCAGAAGAAGUACAAGACAAAAACAACCUCCUAAGUACCUUGAUGCAUAUUAUGUUGACAUACCUUCACAAUCUAAUUCUAUUACCCUUCAUCCAAUAACCAAGCACCUAUCAACUAAAUAACUCCCACCUGCACAUAAGGCAUUUACUAUUACUUUGUCCCAUAUUCAUGAGCCAAAUUCUUACCAUCAAGCUAUAAACUAUUCUCAUUGGAGAGAAGCAAUGGACCUAGAACUGAAAGCUUUGCAAGACAAUGGUACAUGGACCAUAGAACCUCUACCUUCAAAUUCACAUGUAAUUGGCUGCAAGUGGGUAUACAAGGUUAAAAUGAAGGCAAAUGGUGAAAUUGAAAGAUAUAAGGCAAGAUUGGUUGCUAAAGGGUACAACCAAGUUGCAAGAUUUGAUUACCAAGAGAUUUUUAGUACUGUAGCAAAACAGUCCACCAUUAGAGUGUUCUUUGCUCUAGCUGCUACAAAUAGUUGGUCUUUAUCACAAUUAGAUAUUAAUAAUGCCUUCCUUAAUGGUGAUCUAGAUGAAGCAAUAUAUAUGGAGAUACCACAAGGUUAUGCUGUCCAGGGGGAGUGUCCAAAAGGAUCCAAACUUGUUUGCAAACUAUACAAAUCCUUAUAUGGUUUAAAGCAAGCUUCCAGACGGUGGAAUGCCAAACUUACUGCUUCACUUUUGCAAUUUGGAUUCACUCAAUCAUCAACAAAUCAUUCUUUAUUUACUAUGAAGACUCCUAUUGGAAAUUUCGUUGCUCUUCUCGUGUAUGUAGAUGACAUGCUCAUUGGGAGUACAUUUAUUAAUGCUGCAUCAGAAGUGAAAGAGUUUUUAAACUCAAAAUUCAAGCUCAAGGAUCUUGGAGAUGUCAAAUACUUCCUUGGACUUGAAAUCAUUGAUAUACCAAAAGAAAUCUCUAUAAGUCAGAGAAAGUACACUUUAGAUCUCCUUGAAGAACAAGGGAUGUUGGGAGCUCAACCUACAAGCACUCCCAUUGACUACAAUCAUAAAUUGCAGAAAGCACAAGAUGGAGAAGAAUUAUUGAAGGAUCCAACAUGUUACAGACAAUUUAUAGACAAACUGCUAUAUCUUACUUUUAGCAAGCCUGAUAUAUCUUAUGCAGUGCAAACAUUAUCACAGUUCAUGGACAGACCUAGUCAGAUGCAUUUGAUGGCAGCUCAUAGAAUAUUAAAGUAUUUGAAAAAUGCUGUUGGGCAAGGAAUUCUAAUGAAAAGAAUAUCAAAUCUCAAGAUCACAGCUUACUCAGACAGUGAUUGGGCUGGAUGUCCUCAUAGUAGGAGAUCAAUCAUAGGAUAUUGUGUGUUUAUUGGAGACACUCUUGUCAGCUGGAAAUCCAAAAAGCAAGCUGUUGUUGCUCGCAGUUCUGCUGAAGCAAAGUAUCGUUCCAUGGCAUCCACCUGUUGUGAAUUAAUGUGGCUGAAGCACCUGCUGACUGAUUUUAAGAUAGACCAUGAUGAUCCUAUAGACUUGUAUUCAGAUAGUCAAUUUGCCAUUCAUAUCAGCAAGAAUCCUGUGUACCAUGAACGAACAAAACACAUCGAGAUGGAUUGUCACUUCAUCCGAGAAAAGGUGUUAGCAGGUAUAAUUAAGCCUCUUUACAUAUCCACUGAUCUGCAAGCAGCUGAUAUUUUUACCAAGGCUUUGUUACCAAAGCAAUUUUAUAAGCUACUAGGCAAGUUGAGUGUUCAUGAUAUUCACACCUCCUCUUGAGGGGGAAUGACAAACAGGAUCUAAGAAUAAGUCCAGAAUUCUUCAAGGCUCAAGUGGAGAAGCAACAGAGCUGGACAGAACUAUACACAACCUAUCCUUUAAGAGAGUACUACCUGUACGCAGCGUUUUGUUUAUUAAAGGUUCUCUUUUGAAUCUGCACACAUAAAACACACCGUUUCAUUUAUGUAAAGUUUAAAAUUCAGUUAGUGUAGAUAGUUAGUUGUAUAAAUUAGGAUAAUUAGUUUUUCUAUUUUCUGUUAAUUGCUCAUUGCCCUAUGUAUAUAAGACAAGGGAUAAACUAUCCUUCGUGAGGAAUUUCAUUCUAAA
rnacentral:lncRNA from 1 species